AUAUAAAUAUAUAUAAAAUAUAAAACAAUACGUAAUCGUAGUUUUGAUUCUAAUUGUAUCGUAAUAAACGUUUGUAACAACACUAAAUUAUUUCAUUAAAUACAUUUUUAUGGAUAAUAACAGCGAGCUUCAAAAUGAUAUUUAGCUUGAUUGACGUUUCGUAAGACUAUUUAAAAAUAAAUAAAAUGUCUUCCGGGCGUACGUCUUACCGUCUUUCGCUGAUUUUCGGAAUUCUCUUCCUUAGAUUAAAGUCUUUACGAUGAGACUCUCGUGGCGCGACGCAGAUAGGGAUUUCAGGAAACAUUUACCAGGUGGUGAAACCACAGAACGUCAGUUAACAGAAACCUUGCAUUCUGUGAAAACUGGUUUUAAACCAUUGCCUGGUUUUGAUCCAGAGCGGGAUGAUGUUGCAUAUUAUUGUGCACAACAAGAAAUCGAUUGUGAUGAAGUAUAUCCUGGAAUAUAUAUAGGAGAUGGUGCCACAGCAAAAAAUAAAAGUUAUCUCGCGAUGCUUGGUAUAACACAUUUACUUAAUGCUGCAGAAGGGAAGAAAUUUGGAUUUGUAAAUACUGAUAAAAAUUAUUAUACAAAUACAACAAUAAAAUAUCUUGGAUUACCACUGGCUGAUCAUCCAACUGCUGACAUAAGCAAGUAUUUCUACACUGCAGCAUCUUUUAUCGAUGAAGCUGUUUCUAGUAAUGGUAAAGUUUUUGUACACUGUAUGCUGGGAGUAUCUCGCAGUGCAACAUGCGUCUUAGCAUACUUGAUGAUAAAGAAGAAUAUGUUGGCUGUUGAUGCAAUAAGAAUAGUCCGAGAAAAACGCGAUAUUCAUCCGAAUUAUGGAUUUCGCAGUCAAUUAGCUCAACUGGAUAAUCAACUGCGUCGACAACGUUUAUAAUAAAAAGAAAAAAUUUUAAUUGAAGCUCUUUGGAAUUUAUAUUUUCUGGCUCAUUGACCGAAGACGAUUCAAUUGGACAUCACCUCUCUUCUUAUUUACAUCUUGCGAUGUUUAUAUAUUCGACAUAUGAAAGAUACUCAUUGGAUCAUUUACGUUUAAAAAAACCGCUAAUUCAUGUUUUGACUCACUGGACUCAAUAUACGGUAUGUUGCAGCGAUUUAUAAAGCACAAAGAGUUUUGAAACGAAAAUUAAAAAAAUGAUAGUUUUAUUGAAAGAGGAAUGUAUCAAGAUCAAAAAUAUUGUAAAAGUACUAACUUACUUGAAUGAAAUCACAUUGAAAUUGCGGAAAGGUCAAUUAUUUUUAGGGAAUUUUUAUAAAUUGUGGUUAAAUCUUAAAUUAUAAUUAAAAAUCAAGAAUUCGAUUGCAAUUGCAGUGAUCUUUUAUUAUGUAGGAAAAAAAAACUGCUACUGUUAAAAAAUGAUGCAGUUUAUGGUUUUUUUAAAUCUACGGUUUAAACGUCUAUUGCGAUAGAGCAAAAGGCUAAGGUUAGGAAACAUCGUCGAUUAAUACUUCGUCUUCUAAGUAUUAAUGAUUGGAGCUUUUCCAAAGAUACUCCUAACCAAAACGAAACUUUUGUCAUCGAUAAUGGUCGCCGGUAACCAAAAAAUAAUUCUUGUAAGCAAUAAUGAUUAGUGGUAACCAAAAAAUAAUUCACGAUAAUGGUCAUUAGUAAUAAAAAAAAUUUUAGUCAUUUAUAUUAUUUAUAACCACGCAUUAUAUUAUUCAUAAAAUACGCAAAUUUUAAUAUUUUUUAAUCAUUUCAUUUUUCGAAAAGUUUCUGCAAAAUUUAAUGCCAACUGACUUUCAUUUAAAUAAAAAUUAAUUUUUUCUUAACUUUUUUUUUUAAUUUUUAAAAAAAUUUUUGGUUUAUGUUCAAGACAUAUGCAUUCCUUAAAAAAGUAAAUAACGUUUUAUUAGAAUACAAUCUAAAACUGAUUUCAUAUAAAAACAUUAUUAUUAUUUAAGAUCUUGAUUGUAUAAAAAUGGAGCAUAUUCAUUAAAAUUGAAAUGCUCUUAUUUCCAAAUAUAAUAAAUAAGUUCAUGUAGUAUUAAUGUGAUGUCUCUACAAGAAUCUACAAUAUUAAAAAAUUUCUUAUAAUGUUAAGAAUUGACAGUAUCGUUAUUUUAAAAAAGAUAUGAUGAAAACAUUUAAUUGAAUAUUAUAUAAAUUAAAUAUUAACUCUUGAAAUAAUACUCUUAUUAUAGAGCAAAUUGUAUCAAAAUAUUAUGAAAUUUGAAGAGAUUUUUCUUUUUAAAAAUCAUAUUUAAUUUAUUACUCGUGGCCUUUUAUUAUGUGCUUCUAAACUGUGAUUCGUUAAACUUAUUUGAGCAUCUACUUCUGCUGGUCCACUACGUUUUCUUGCUUUUGGUGAUAACUGUUUUAAACAUUCCAUGUCAUGAAAUACUACUUGAGCUCCUCCGCCAGAAGUUGGUAAAAUAUCUCCCUUAUAAAGUUUCGUCUCAAGUUCUCCAUCCGUAUCAUGUUCUUGUGCUACAAGGCAAUAUCUAGACGCACCAUCUGUAAUUUCUUUUGGAUCUGUAAGUCGAUUAACACUUCGUCUCCUAUGCAUUAAUGGUUGGAGGACUGUUCCAAGAGGAACAAGUGCUCCAGGUCUGUGAUCGAUCCAUCUAUCUGCACUUUGAGAACGUCUAUAUCUUGGAUUUGAUAUUAUUGCUUUGUCUUUCCGUGAUCUUCCAUCUGUACAAGGUACUAAUCUUUUUGUAACAUCUCCUACACGAACAGGUGUAACAGGUGGUACAUCCUUGGAUACAAUUUUUCCUGAAUUAAUGUCAUUUUCAUCUACUAAAAUUUGUUUCAUCAGUCUCAAUUUAUCAUCUUGUGCUUUCAUUUGAUUCUGAAGUUGUUCACGUUGUUGACGAAGUUUUACUUCUAGUUCUUUAUUCAUUUUAUCAGUUUCUACCUGUAUUUUGGUAUUGUAUUUUUGUUUGACCCUUUGUUUAUCUAUCAGACGUUGAUUUAAUGCCAUGUCUCUGUCUUUUAACUCCUGUUGCAUAUUUUUUAUUGUUUCGUUUGCAUUGUUUAAUUUGCACAUCAAACUAUCGAUUUGCGCUUCUGUUUUUCCAAGAUGACCUUCCAAAGCUAAAAUCUUUUUUUUUUGUUGUGCAUUCGAAGCUUUCAAUGCAGCAUUUUCUACUUUUAAACUAAUAUUUUCUUGUUCUGUUAAUGAAAGCAUUUUCCUGAAUUCAAUUUCUAUAAAAAUAUAAUUAAGUUGUGUUUUUUUUUGUUAUAUAUAAAACAACAUAUAAUUAAAAUAAAUGUCUUACGCUUUUGCUGUAAAUCAGCCCGUAAUAUAUUUCGUUUAUUUAUUCUUUGUUCUAAGAAGUGCAUCAAAUUUGUUAUGAUUUGAUCAUUGUGUGGAUUAUUCAUUUCUAAUUCAGGAAAUGGUCCACCCAAGCUAUAAAAAGAAAUAAAAUAAAUAAAAGUAAAAUAA